rnacentral:rRNA from 1 species
UUAUACGACCGUACCGCAAACCGACACUGGUGCGCGAGAUGAGUAUUCUAAGGCGCUUGAGAGAACUCAGGAGAAGGAACUCGGCAAAUUGACACCGUAACUUCGGAAGAAGGUGUGCCCUAUUAGUGUGUAGUGAACAACGAAGCAUGAAUGGGUUGCAAAAAAUCGGUGGCUGCGACUGUUUAUUAAAAACACAGCACUCUGCAAACACGAAAGUGGACGUAUAGGGUGUGACGCCUGCCCGGUGCUGGAAGAUUAAAUGAUGGGGUGCAAGCUCUUGAUUGAAGUCCCAGUAAACGGCGGCCGUAACUAUAACGGUCCUAAGGUAGCGAAAUUCCUUGUCGGGUAAGUUCCGACCUGCACGAAUGGCGUAACGAUGGCCACACUGUCUCCUCCUGAGACUCAGCGAAGUUGAAAUGUUUGUGAUGAUGCAAUCUCCCCGCGGAAAGACGGAAAGACCCCAUGAACCUUUACUGUAGCUUUGUAUUGGACUUUGAACAGAUCUGUGUAGGAUAGGUGGGAGGCUUUGAAGCAGGGUCGCUAGAUCUUGUGGAGCCAACGUUGAAAUACCACCCUGGUGUGUUUGAGGUUCUAACCUAGGUCCAUUAUCUGGAUCGGGGACAGUGCAUGGUAGGCAGUUUGACUGGGGCGGUCUCCUCCCAAAGCGUAACGGAGGAGUUCGAAGGUACGCUAGUUACGGUCGGACAUCGUGACGAUAGUGCAAUGGCAUAAGCGUGCUUAACUGCGAGACUGACAAGUCGAGCAGAUGCGAAAGCAGGACAUAGUGAUCCGGUGGUUCUGUAUGGAAGGGCCAUCGCUCAACGGAUAAAAGGUACUCUGGGGAUAACAGGCUGAUACCGCCCAAGAGUUCAUAUCGACGGCGGUGUUUGGCACCUCGAUGUCGGCUCAUCUCAUCCUGGGGCUGUAGCCGGUCCCAAGGGUAUGGCUGUUCGCCAUUUAAAGAGGUACGUGAGCUGGGUUUAAAACGUCGUGAGACAGUUUGGUCCCUAUCUUCCGUGGGCGCUGCAGAUUUGAGGAAGCCUGCUCCUAGUACGAGAGGACCGGAGUGGACACACCUCUGGUGUAUCGGUUGUCACGCCAGUGGCAUUGCCGAGUAGCUAAGUGUGGAAGAGAUAACCGCUGAAAGCAUCUAAGCGGGAAACUCGUUUCAAGAUGAGAUCUGCCGGGGCCUUGAGCCCCCUAAAGAGUCGUUCAAGACCAGGACGUUGAUAGGUCAGGUGUGGAAGCCU